rnacentral:misc_RNA from 1 species
GAUGAAGAACGUAGCGAAAUGCGAUAAGUAGUGUGAAUUGCAGAAUUCAGUGAAUCAUCGAAUCUUUGAACGCACAUUGCGCCCCUUGGUAUUCCGAGGGGCAUGCCUGCUCGAGCGUCAUUAUAACCCCUCAAGCUCAGCUUGGUGUUGGGGCCUGCUGCACUGGCAGCCCUUAAAAUCAGUGGCGGCGCCAUCUGGCUCUAAGCGUAGUAAUUCUUCUCGCUAUGGAGUCCUGGUGGAUGCUUGCCAUCAACCCCCAAUUUUUCUAUGGUUGACCUCGGAUCAGGUAGGGAUACCCGCUGAACUUAAGCAUAUCAAUAAGCGGAGGA